rnacentral:rRNA from 1 species
UAACACGUGAGUGACCUGCCCUGGAGUGGGGAAUAACUCUGCGAAAGCAGAGCUAAUACCGCAUUCGCUUACUCCUUCGUUGGAGUAAGUAAAGCUCAAUGCGCUUCAGGAGGGGCUUGCGGCCGAUUAGCUAGUCGGUGGGGUAAUGGCCUACCGAGGCAACGAUCGGUAGCUGGUCUGAGAGGAUGACCAGCCACACUGGGACUGAGACACGGCCCAG